UCCAGACCUUGUCAAAUCACCGAAGUCAAGCAUCAUUGGGCGCGGUCAGUACUUGGGCGGGAGACCACCUGGGAACACCGAGUGCCGUUG
rnacentral:rRNA from 1 species